UACGUAGGUGGCAAGUGUUGUCCGGAUUUAUUGGGUUUAAAGGGUGCGUAGGCGGCUUUGUAAGUCAGUGGUGAAAUACUCUAGCUUAACUAGAGGGGUGCCAUUGAUACUGCAGAGCUUGAGUACAGAUGAGGUAGGCGGAAUUGACGGUGUAGCGGUGAAAUGCAUAGAUAUCGUCAAGAACACCGAUAGCGAAGGCAGCUUACUGGGCUGUAACUGACGCUGAUGCACGAAAGUGUGGGGAUCAAACAGG
rnacentral:rRNA from 1 species